GGGGGAACUCAUGCGGCUACCUGCUCUGAGUGGAGAGUGCCUGGAAAGUGCCUCUCCACUAUGUUCUCUCCAUGACAGAGUCACAAUGAGGCCCACGGAUUAAGACAAUUCGACUUUGACUCCAUCUUCUAAUCCAGUCUCCCUGAAACUGAACACAAAGAGAUGUAUAGCACAGGACAUUGAAUUGAAACAUUCAUUAGUGGGAGAUGAAGAGUGGUGAUUGGCUGAUUUACCUAUGAUGUCACCAGGGUCCUAGUACAAAGUAACCUGAACUACUGACCUGACCACGAGUAAACUUUAUUCCUAAUUGGUUAUUUGACAAAAUUCUUCUUAACAUAGAACUUCAUUACUGCCUAAUGUCUUCAAAUGUAACUGACACAAAUAUUGUAAAGGAGUUCUAACAUUAAGGAAAGUGGAAAGAGUAUGUUUUAUUCCA